rnacentral:tRNA from 1 species
UUCUAUAUAGUAUAAUAAUACGUCACUUUUAAAAGGUGAAAAUUUUAUAGAAU